rnacentral:rRNA from 1 species
UGCAAGUCGAGCGGUAACAGGUGUAGCAAUACAUGCUGACGAGCGGCGGACGGGUGAGUAACGCUUGGGAAUCUGCCUGUUAGUGGGGGACAACCCGGGGAAACUCGGGCUAAUACCGCAUACGCACUACGGUGGAAAGCCGGGGACCGCAAGGCCUGGCGCUAACAGAUGAGCCCAAGUCGGAUUAGCUAGUUGGUAGGGUAACGGCCUACCAAGGCGACAAUCCGUAACUGGUCUGAGAGGACGACCAGUCACACCGGAACUGAGACACGGUCCGGACUCCUACGGGAGGCAGCAGUGGGGAAUAUUGGACAAUGGGCGCAAGCCUGAUCCAGCAAUGCCGCGUGUGUGAAGAAGGCCUUCGGGUUGUAAAGCACUUUAGGCUGGAAAGAAAAAGCUUCACCUAAUACGUGAAGCCUUGACGGUACCAGCAGAAUAAGCACCGGCUAACUCUGUGCCAGCAGCCGCGGUAAUACAGAGGGUGCAAGCGUUAAUCGGAUUUACUGGGCGUAAAGCGUGUGUAGGCGGUUCGUUAAGUCGGGUGUGAAAGCCCCGGGCUCAACCUGGGAAUUGCAUUCGAGACUGCAUUGCUGGGGUACGGAAGAGGAGGGCGGAAUUCCCGGUGUAGCGGUGAAAUGCGCAGAUAUCAGGAGGAACACCGGUGGCGAAGGCGGGUCUCUGGGCCGAUACUGACGCUGAGGAGCGAAAGCGUGGGGAGCGAACAGGAUUAGAUACCCUGGUAGUCCACGCCGUAAACGAUGGGCACUAGAUGUGGGCGGUGUCGACUCCGCCCGUGUCGCAGCUAACGCAUUAAGUGCCCCGCCUGGGGAGUACGGCCGCAAGGCUAAAACUCAAAUGAAUUGACGGGG